rnacentral:rRNA from 1 species
GACGAACGCUGGCGGCGUGCUUAAUACAUGCAAGUCGAACGGAAAGGCCCUGCUUUUGUGGGGUGCUCGAGUGGCGAACGGGUGAGUAACACGUGAGUAACCUGCCCUUGACUUUGGGAUAACUUCAGGAAACUGGGGCUAAUACCGGAUAGGAGCUCCUGCUGCAUGGUGGGGGUUGGAAAGUUUCGGCGGUUGGGGAUGGACUCGCGGCUUAUCAGCUUGUUGGUGGGGUAGUGGCUUACCAAGGCUUUGACGGGUAGCCGGCCUGAGAGGGUGACCGGCCACAUUGGGCCUGAGAUACGGCCCAGACUCCUACGGGACGCAGCAGUGGGGAAUAUUGCACAAUGGGCGGAAGCCUGAUGCAGCAACGCCGCGUGCGGGAUGACGGCCUUCGGGUUGUAAACCGCUUUCGCCUGUGACGAAGCGUGAUUGACGGUAAUGGGUAAAGAAGCACCGGCUAACUACGUG